AUAGAAAAGGCUCUUCUCAAAGCAACUUGGGGUGUGUGUGGUGGGGUGGGCAUGAGAAAUGUCCUCAUUGUAUUCUCCAACUAAAUUUCCUUGUAGUACAGCAUCAGCGUUAUCUUUUCUCUAGUAGAUUUUUAACUCCUGAAUUUUUCACCACUUCACCGACCAACCAGGCUCACAGCAAGCUGAGCAACCACGGCCAAUGGGGCUGGAGAAAGGGAACCGGUGCUGCAGCACCCUGCAUUCAUCCUGCCCCAUGUCAGCAAUGCCGGAGUUCUUUGUGAAACAAGAGACCCGUCUUACCGGCAUGACUCCAGCCGCUCCGUGGCUGAGGAUUCUUCUACCCUCACAUCUCUGACUCCUGAUCUCCUGAAGUUUCUGCUCAGAUGGAACUACCUCUUUGCCGGCUGUCAAGCUCUCGGUUGGCCCGUUGGCUACUGUUGCCACUCAGUAGUUGGAUGCUACAACAUACUGUUUGAAGUUGAGGUUCAAUAAAUAUUGUUGAUUGACU